GAUAACUAGAAAAUUAAAAAAAAUCCUAGGAGGGGGCACUAAGAUGAUCCCCAUUUUACAGAGGAGGAAACUGUGACCCAAAGAAAUUCGAUGAUUUACUCAGGGUUGAGCAGACCAUUAGGCGUCUGAAGUGGGAUUCAAGCCCAUAUUUUGCCUUAUUCAUUUCUUUAUUCCUUGAACCUUGCUAGAGUGUAUAGAGGUUGUGUGGGGCAGAGGCUGGUUUGGACUGGAUGGAAGGAAAACUCCCUAACAUGUAGAGCUCUGCCAGUGAACCUUUGGCCCCAGGGGGUGAUGGGCUCCGUCGCUGAUGAUCUUGCAACAAAGGCUGGGAGACCAUUUGUCAGGGGAGUGGUAGAGGGAGUUCUGGAUCAGGUAAGGGUCGGAAAAUAUUCAUCGCUAAUGGAUCCACACGCAUUUAUUAAGCAUCUACUGUGUGCCAGGUACCGAGAACACAGACCAAAGAAAACAGAAAAGCAGCCGGUCUCUAUUGGGAAGAGGCUGGGAUUCCACCACAGAAGAUAACAGGAUGGGGCAAGACUGGAUAGCCGGUCUCUAGCGUCACCUCCAGUGGGACUCAGGAUUAAGCUGGGGAUCCUUCGGCCUGCAGGAGAACAGCCUUCCCGAAGCAGCUGGCGCACCCCAGCCUAAGAAUUGGGGGCUUUUUAAGGAUCUUGCUUUUUCUUGAGAGACCGAGACCAGAGGCGGGGUGAUGUCCCAAGUAUCCCGGGCUUAAGCUUCAGAGGCAGAUAAAGCAGGUUCUCUAAGGGCGAAGCUGGUGGGACAUCCCGUUCAGCAGCCUAUCUGUUGUCUUUCAGAGGGUCCGACUCCCACCAGACGUUGAAGUCCUUGGGAUCAGGGACUGCCUUUGGUCACUCUUUGUAGCUCCACUGCCUAGCACAGUGGCUGGCACAUAGUAGGAACUUAAUAAAUGUUGCUGACUGACUUAACUGACUUUAUUUUUAAGAGCUUUCAGAUGGGCAGGUGUGGAUGUUCACUUUUAAGGAGAUUCAGAAUCUGAAUGUGUCUUGGCUAACUGCGUGACUUUAGGCCAAAACACUUAACAUCCCCGGGACUCAGUUUCCCCAUCCAAAAAAAUGGGGCUGAUAAUACUUGCACUACUUAAUUUGCAGAGUUGAAGGAAAUUUUUUUAUGUCUGAAGGCAUGAUGAAAGCUCACCUCAAUUAUUAUAAUUAUAAGCAUUCCUCCACCAAUGUUCUCUGAUGCAUCUUGGGGAAGUGGAGGGGAUCCUGAGCUCCCAAAAGCCAUGACGAUGGAAGCCAAGCUCCGGCAGGCCCAGCUACGGAUGUCGGUCAUUCAAGAACGGCCUCACAAAGAUCACAGAGUUAUAGAGAGAGUAGGGGUCUGUUCCACGAAAUCUAAAGUUAUAAUCAUGAUUAACCCUGCUCCCAUCCCCGCCUACUUCCAGUCUGUGGCUAACAGGUGCAGCUUCUGGAAGGCUGCCCCACCCUCCAGGUCCUUCCUCUCUUCUAGACCUUCCAACCUUCCCAGCCUCCUCAAAGUCCCUCUGAGACCCACGGCUCCAGAAGAACAGAAAAAUCAUUUUUGUCAACAGGAACUUGACUUUGGAAGCUGGUCUGAAAAAGAGGUGGGGGUUGUCUCCACCAUCUCAAGAUGAGCCCAGCUGUAGGUGCUGUGCCAACCGCCAAAAGCUCAUGUGAUGUCAAGACUCUGAAGAGCACCAGAGUGGGAUGACUACGAUGAGGUGGAUGGAAAGUACAGCAACCACAAAAAAAUCAAAGAGGAAUGUUUCAAAAUGACCAAGGACAAGCUUGGCAGCCCCAAAAAGGCUUCCACCACACGUUGGCAGAGCUAGGGGAGGGUGCCAUGGGUGGAGAGCUGUAAAUCUAUUGUCAGCUUUUUUUUUUUUCAAUAUAUUCAUCAGUUUUGCUGAUUUUUCCCCCUCUUUUUUUUUUUAAUCAUCGUUAUAAGGGACGAGGACCCUGGGAGGGGGGAAGAAUAUGGAGAUGAAUUGAAAUGAUAUAUUGAGAAGACAAAUAAAAGUAUAUUUCAAACAAAAGGAAUGAGUGUGAUAUAAUAAAGAGGGUUCAGGAAUAGGGAGGUUCCAGUCCUUUGUCAUGUCCUCCAAUCUGGCUGGACCACACCUGAAGGGUAUCCCCUGUCAGGUCUGGGGUAUCACAGAGAUUCCGCUGGAGAUUGGCCAAGACCAAGAUGGGGAAUAGCCUUGAGUCAAGAUCAUGUGAAGAGAAUUAAAGGAACUGGGGAUGUCUAGCCCAAGGAAGAAAAGAUGGUGGGAUGUGAGAGCUAUGUUUGAAGGUUUCUAACCAUGAGAACCUUCUGGAAAUGGAAUGGAUAGAAAGGCCUGGAAAGAUUUACAUGAACUGAUACUGAG